rfam:Dipodomys ordii contig_39418, whole genome shotgun sequence.
GGGAAUGUGGCUUAGUGGUAGAGUGCUUGCCUAGUAUACAUGAAGCCCUGGGUUCGAUUCCUCAGUACCA